CAGGAGGCGCUGGUGAAGGCGGCGCUCGGGAUCGUCCUGAACAGAGCGGUGCUGCAGGACUGCCCCCUCUCCAGAUCAGAGCUGCAGCGGCUCCUCCCGGACUUCAGCGGCGGCUCGUCUCUGUCGUCUCCCCUGGCUCCCGUCGGGCCGGGCGCCGUGUCCCCGAGGCUCCACAGGAGGAGGGACCACCGGCUGCGGCGCUCCAACACCGCGCCCAGGAAGAGGCCGGUCUGUGGGGCGGGUCUCGGCGCCGCCGCGGGUACGGGACACUCACGGUUAUUCAGAGGAAACAUCCAAAAUCCCCCGUCCAGCGUCUCGUCUUAAGUCGGUCUCUUCUGUUGCAGGUUCUCAGUCGACGUCUGACGUUCGCUUUGGUAACGGCGACCUCCACAGAGCGGGACGAGGCCUGGGCUUGUUUCAGACGAAGAGACGGAUCUGAUCAGAGAACUGCAGAACAUGAGCAGCAGCCGCUCAGAGCCCGACAUCAGCACGAUUUCUCAAACCAAAGAAGUGCUUUCCACAGAGCGCUCCUCACAGCAGCUGCUGCCGACGACUCCUGUGUCUCCGCCCGUGUCCCGCUCGCGCCUGCCUCUCCGCACCUCCAGGGCCAAUCCACGCCCCACUACUGCCAAUACUACUACUACAAACACUACUACUACAAAUACUACUACUACAAACACUACUACUACAAACACUACUACUACCAAUACUCCUCCUCCCUGCCCCGACGACAACCAGCACUUCGUCAACAAUAACCACGUCCACAGCAGCGUGUGGAUCCUGCAUGAGAACUGCAUUACCCACAACCCCGCGCUCCUGCCUCGAUAGCGCCCCCCGCUGUAAAGACCGAGGACUCUCCGACUCCAUGGUGUCUCGUUCUCGUGGUUGACGUCGUUCUGAACCUGUGGGACCAUAGUUUUACGCUGGUUUUUAUUUUUGGAAAAACGCGGCUCGUGAUGAAAGAAAAAAAUGUGAAAUUAAAGUCGAUCUGAGGCGAGACGCCGCAGGGGAAACGAGCGCACACGGCAGGAUUAUACUUCAUGUUUUGCUCUGAUUCUCUGUCGCGGUGAGUCCCGUCGUGUGGAGGGUCAUCGACUGUAAUGGAGCAGAAAGGUGCGACUUAACCUCAGUCGCAGUAAAUCUAAUAUAGUCCCGAGCAAAAGUUUAAGACUGGAAAAAUUCACAUUUUGCAUGGUUGAAUCGUAACAAGGUUCAGGCCCGGAUCUACUGUGGGGAGCUGAUCAAAGGUUUAGGGCCAGAUACGGUUGAUCGUGAUGGAUGACGAACAUCACGAUGGAGAGAAACACGCGCUGAUCUUCUGUGGGCCUUGUAAACCUACAAACUUUGCAGGGAUUGCACUGUAAAUUAAAUUACGAAUAUAACUAAUAUGCACGCUAGUUUAAGUAGCCUACCAGAAGACAUGAUGUGUUAGCCGUAAUUAUUAAAGUAAAGACACAGCGCUGCUCUAUUUCUGACGCGCGGGGCUCUCUCUCUAAAAGCAGCUACUGUUUAACACCGCAUGGGCUCGCUUUGCUUUUCGUAUGGAAAAUAAACAGUUUUAAAAUGCCGCGAUGGAUCUCACAUGGAGCUGAAAGCGCAUGGGAUGUUCUCACGAAGGGCCGAGAGAGGAGAGAAAGAGGUGCAGGAGUACGAGGCUACGAGCUCACGGACCGGGCGGCGCUUGGAGCAGCUUUAAAAACGUAGGCUCCGACGCAAACUUCUAAAUAUUGUCCCGUUCACCCACUGUUUCUUAAACAUUACGUUAAAAUUGAGCAAAUGCAAAUAAUAAGCUCCGAAUUACAUUUGUAUUAGUGUGAUAAGAGCCUUGUUAUUGAGUAGCAGAUGACGCUCUGAAUAAGUCAAGUUUUAACACAUUUCUGUUGCAAAAUUCGUGUUCCAUGACCCUGUUCAGAUCAUGUUUAGUUUAGAUACAUUUAUCCUGCAAUCUCACAUUAUUCUCACAUAAAUAAUAUGCAGCCUAUACUAUACAGGCUAUUUAAAUGUCUUUUAAAAAAUGCUUAUUAGUUCACUGUAAACAUCGUCAACUGCCAAAUAAGGGGACAUCGCCCAACCCUAGGGCCAGAUGCCUUUAAAAUGUCAUUUUCUUUGUCCUGUUGCAAAGGUUUAGGCAAGGCAACUUUAUUUAUACCGUACACAAGGCAACUCAAUGCGCCUAUGCGUUUAGAUGGUGGUCGUGACGUAACACAAUCAGAUCCUGAGGGUUAUGGAACAAAGUGGAGACACAAAGAAAUGUUGCCAGCUCUGAGCCAGAGGAUCCUUUUGUUCCAGGAGCGACUGCAGCCCAAUAACCAGAGGAUCCCACAGACGAGGCCUCAGUCUGUAACAUUUGCUCCACCUGAAGCUCCAUCGUUCCACUGAAGCUCAUUAUGUCGCCCUGUCUCUGCGGGGAAAACAUGGAUCAGUAACCAUGGAAACCAUCAGGACCAUCAGGGUCACAUUCAUCUGAAUCAAACUUCCUUCACCUUCAGUCUCCCAUGUUUGGUCUCUGUUCUGUGGCUCUUUGUUUCUAAACCUCUGAUGGUUAUUGGGCUCCAGAGGAACGACUUCAUUUGGGUCCCGGAUCCUCUGGUGUGGAAGAGCUGGGGACAAGUUUUUAAGUCUUCAACUUCACUUUUUUUCCUCAGGAAGUAACUCCAACACGGCGGCGCUCCCUGGUCUUUCCCACAGUUACAUAUAGGCCUUAAUUUUUAUAUCAACGCGUGAAAUGACAGAAAAACUAAAUGGAUCCCGUUUCCCUGCUUCACCUGCAGCGUCUCGCCUCAAAAUGAUACAAGUAUUUUCAAAGUGAACGUUGUGUGAAUCGUGGCCAGUUUCAGAAACAGUUUCGAGUUCUUAUGCUGUUUUUAAACAAAUAUUAUAUUAUUAUUAGACGACAGGCUUGUUUUAGUCCGUGUUACUUCGAGCUGAUUUCUGAAACUCGCUUUGAAAUAACAACCCGGAAUCAAUGGGAGCAACAUCUGCGUGAAAACAAAAGAGUUCAUCUGGCAGAGUCAGAGGAAAAUGUUCUAAUGUCUCACCUUCUGUGACGCAGACUUUGCUCCCAUCUCUACGGUUUCAGUAUUUCAACAAACAUGAGUAUUAUUGAGCCUUUUUGUUUGUUUUUUAUCAGAAGUAUUUUCUUGUGUUUGAAAAGUACGUUGAAAAAGCUGUCUAAAUAAUCAGGGUUUUAACCAAAUCUAUAAUGUACAUAAGAGCUGUUAGGAAUAUAGAUUGGUGUAUGUGGCUUGUACAGUGAAAAAAACAAAACAAAAAAAACUUAAAAUGCUGAAGAAAAAAAAAAAAUCUUUGAACUUGUGAAAUUGUAAAUGUACAUAAUGUUUGUAGGUUUUCUUUUGUUUCUGAGAGUUUCACUUGUUUCAAAGUGGAGCUCAUUUUGUGGCAAUAAAGUCCAGAGAGCGGAGUCGAGCCGAGUCGCGAUUGAGUAUUUUACUGAUUGUGUUUGUUUGAUUUAUCACAACCUUUUGUCACUUGUCACAGCUCGUGUAUCUGCCUACGACGGUGGCCCAGAAGGUCAUUUUGUAACUGAAAGGUUUCCGAUUCCAAUCCAACUUUCCUGCUCCUGUAUCUGAGGACUUCUUCUUACGCUACACAAUUUGGUUCAAUGAUAAGAGGAUGAUGAUUACAAAACAUAUGAUCAUCAGCAAAUAUACGAAUCUGAACCGAACCGUUUUAAUGGAUUUCGUCGCGUUUAGUUUUUUUUAGUGUAAUGUAAUUAAAGCAGCACUAAGUAACUUGUUUACUUUAAUAAAUCCUUUCCGUAGUCCCUCUGGGGGUAAUAAAAGUGUUAAUGGGAUGAUUGGUGGUCUUUCAUCUCCCCCUGGUGUCUCUGGUCAGAAAACCACAAUUGCAACCUUCCUGCCUCCGGGUCGGAGUCACCAAUACACACUAAUGGAAUCACAAAGAAGAAGCUAACAGGCUAAGCUAACUGUGGGCUAGCGCCACUUAAACAGUAUUAACAGCCAAGUUUGAGUGGAAAGAAAUGAUCUCCAUUGAGUAAUUGGAUGAACAAUAUCCGUCUGUCCCUUUGUCUUUUCCGUCAGCGUAGUAUUUACACUCACGGACAAUUAAUGAGUAAAAAAACACAACGUGCUACGACACCUGCAGUGGCGCUUAUGGCCUCUAGGGGCAUGAGUUACUUACUUACUGCUUUAGUAAAGCCACAAAACGAAACAAGAACGUGAUGAAAACAAAAACAAGAAAAGAGCUUAGGUCUUAGCUUUCAAAUGAGGCGCUACUCUGGCCCAUAAGCUCUCAGGUCGAGAAGCUUUUAGAUUUGGGUAAAACCGAACUGGGGAAAAUGUGCUCGGUUAAAUGUAUUAUGUUCUUGCCUGUUUAUCCUACGUGCCCAUAUUUGAUGUACGAAGUCUCCCUCUGAAAUGAGACUAAAACGGAAUGAAAAGUAGUAAAUGAGACUGAAACAGACUAAAAUCACUUGAUAUUUCGCCCACUAAUUUUCUUACUUUUUACAGUAAUAACUUUGGAGCAGUGAGGAUAUUUUCUGAUAAAGUGUCGGUAUUUUCCGGCUCCGCUCUCUGGUCGCAGCGAUGUCCCGUUCAUGUAAUGAAGCCAUAUUUAAGUCUGGUUUGACUUGUGCUCACUGUUCCUCACUGUGCUCCCGUUUAAUUUAAGGUCCAUGUGUUUAUAUAUAAAUAUUAUAAUCUAUACAUUUGUACAGAGAGAUUUAGUCCCUUUGAGUUUAGCUGUUUGAGGUUUUAACCAUUUGUGUUUAAGCACAACAUUAAACGGGCACCGACUGAACUCUGUGAUGUCUUUAUUUCUACAGACUGAAAAUGUCUCUCCCACGGCCUCUGCUCAUGUUCAAGCAGCCGGAGGGAAAGCUAAGAAAUAAACUGAACUUUCUCCCGUUUCUCCACAGUUACUUUAGCAAACGCAG
rnacentral:lncRNA from 1 species